CCUACGGGUGGCAGCAGUCGAGGAUCAUUCACAAUGGGGGAAACCCUGAUGGUGCGACGCCGCGUGGGGGAAUGAAGGCCUUCGGAUUGUAAACCCUUGUCAUGUGGGAGCAAAUUAAAAAGAUAGUACCACAAGAGGAAGAGACGGCUAACGCUGUGCCAGCAGCCGCGGUAAUACAGAGGUCUCAAGCGUUGUUCGGAAUGACUGGGCGUAAGGCGUGCGGAGGCUGUUUCGUAAGUCGUGUGUGAAAGGCGCGGGCUCAACCCGCGGACGGCACAUGAUACUGCGAGACUAGAGUAAUGGAGGGGGAACCGGAAUUCUCGGUGUAGCAGUGAAAUGCGUAGAUAUCGAGAGGAACACUCGUGGCGAAGGCGGGUUCCUGGACAUUAACUGACGCUGAGGCACGAAGGCCAGGGGAGCGAAAGGGAUUAGAUACCCCAGUAGUC
rnacentral:rRNA from 1 species